rnacentral:rRNA from 1 species
UCGAGCGGAUGACGGGAGCUUGCUCCUUGAUUCAGCGGCGGACGGGUGAGUAAUGCCUAGGAAUCUGCCUGGUAGUGGGGGACAACGUUUCGAAAGGAACGCUAAUACCGCAUACGUCCUACGGGAGAAAGCAGGGGACCUUCGGGCCUUGCGCUAUCAGAUGAGCCUAGGUCGGAUUAGCUAGUUGGUGGGGUAAUGGCUCACCAAGGCGACGAUCCGUAACUGGUCUGAGAGGAUGAUCAGUCACACUGGAACUGAGACACGGUCCAGACUCCUACGGGAGGCAGCAGUGGGGAAUAUUGGACAAUGGGCGAAAGCCUGAUCCAGCCAUGCCGCGUGUGUGAAGAAGGUCUUCGGAUUGUAAAGCACUUUAAGUUGGGAGGAAGGGCAGUAAGUUAAUACCUUGCUGUUUUGACGUUACCGACAGAAUAAGCACCGGCUAACUCUGUG